rnacentral:rRNA from 1 species
CUCCUUUGACGUUAGCGGCGGACGGGUGAGUAACACGUGGGUAACCUACCUAUAAGACUGGGAUAACUUCGGGAAACCGGAGCUAAUACCGGAUAAUAUUUCGAACCGCAUGGUUCGAUAGUGAAAGGUGGUUUUGCUAUCACUUAUAGAUGGACCCGCGCCGUAUUAGCUAGUUGGUAAGGUAACGGCUUACCAAGGCGACGAUACGUAGCCGACCUGAGAGGGUGAUCGGCCACACUGGAACUGAGACACGGUCCAGACUCCUACGAGGCAGCAGGU